CUUAGGGGAGAAUAGGGAACCGCGUGGAAUUCGCGGACGGGACCGCCGCUGUAAGCGCCGAUGGAUGCACCUGAUAUGUCACUGGGCCAAAGUGCCUAGGAAGGCCGGUGCCAUCUGAAAGCCAGCACCGAUACGGAUCAUGGCUGAAAGGCGCAAGUCAGAAGACCUGCUUGGAGGA
rnacentral:ncRNA from 1 species